rnacentral:rRNA from 1 species
CCUACGGGAGGCAGCAGUGGGGAAUAUUGCACAAUGGGGGAAACCCUGAUGCAGCGACGCCGCGUGAGUGAAGAAGUAUUUCGGUAUGUAAAGCUCUAUCAGCAGGAACGAGACAAGACGGUACCUGACUAAGAAGCCCCGGCUAACUACGUGCCAGCAGCCGCGGUAAUACGUAGGGGGCAAGCGUUAUCCGGAAUCACUGGGUGGAAAGGGAGCGUAGACGGCUGAGCAAGCCUGAAGUGAAAGGCGGGGGCCCAACCCCCGGACUGCUUUGGGAACUGUACGGCUGGAGUGCAGGAGAGGUAAGUGGAAUUCCUAGUGUAGCGGUGAAAUGCGUAGAUAUUAGGAGGAACACCAGUGGCGAAGGCGGCUUACUGGACUGUAACUGACGUUGAGGCUCGAAAGCGUGGGGAGCAAACAGGAUUAGAUACCCCUGUAGUC